UACGUAGGGGGCAAGCGUUGUCCGGAUUUAUUGGGCGUAAAGAGCGUGUAGGCGGUUUGGUAGGUCCGCUGUGAAAACUCGAGGCUCAACCUCGAGACGCCGGUGGAAACCAUCAGACUAGAGUCCGGAAGAGGAGAGUGGAAUUCCUGGUGUAGCGGUGAAAUGCGCAGAUAUCAGGAAGAACACCCGUGGCUAAGGCGGCUCUCUAGUACGGUACUGACG
rnacentral:rRNA from 1 species